GCCUUCAUGGUAUAGUGGUUUGCAUGCUGGACGAGUAUUCCAGAGGUCCUUGGUUCGAUUCCCGGUGAGGGCG
rnacentral:tRNA from 1 species